AACGAACGCUGGCGGCGUGCCUAACACAUGCAAGUCGAGCGAGAUUAAGUGUAGUGAGGGCUUCGGCCUGAGUGAAGCUUAUGAAAGCGGCGGACGGGUGAGUAACGCGUGGGCAACCUGCCCCAUACAGAGGGAUAGCCACUGGAAACGGUGAUUAAUACCUCAUAAGUCAGUAGGGUCGCAUGAUUUAGCUGACAAAGAUUUAUCGGUAUGGGAUGGGCCCGCGUCUGAUUAGCUAGUUGGUGAGGUAACGGCUCACCAAGGCGACGAUCAGUAACCGACCUGAGAGGGCGAACGGUCACACUGGAACUGAGACACGGUCCAGACUCCUACGGGAGGCAGCAGUGGGGAAUAUUGCACAAUGGGCGCAAGCCUGAUGCAGCAACGCCGCGUGAGUGAAGAAGGCCUUCGGGUCGUAAAGCUCUGUCCUCUGGGACGAAUAAAGUGACGGUACCAGAGGAGGAAGCCCCGGCUAACUACGUGCCAGCAGCCGCGGUAACAC
rnacentral:rRNA from 1 species